CUCAGCAUGUUCGACGCGUUCCUCUUCAGCAUCUUCGCCCCCCGCUCCAUCGCCAGUUUGUCUUCCCCUGUUAGGAGUCCUGGCCAAUAUGCCAGGAAUCCACAAGCAGAAUAAACCACAUCAAAAGGGGACCCCAACUUCUUCUUCUCAAAUGUCGCGCGAUUACGACAGUUUCACAAUGCCCAACAGAUAGCAGCCAAACCACAAGUAUAAAACCUAACACCAUUAGGCAUAUAGGCAAAGCACCAAGCGUAAAAUUGUCAAAGAUUAUCAGGACCAUUACUGGUC
rnacentral:lncRNA from 1 species